CAUCCUCUGCCGUGUACGACAGCACGCGCAAACAUUCGCCUUGUCCCUUAAUGACGACCACGGGACGGCGACGGAGACCGGGAGUGCAUGUCCGCCACGCAGCGGGAAGCCCGAUGGUCCCCAAACCGUCCCACUUGAACCCCGGGUUCAAGGUCGUUUCGCGGGCAUCGUCAUGGCGGAGGAUGU
rnacentral:other from 1 species